CCUACGGGAGGCUGCAGUAGGGAAUUUUCGUCAAUGGGCGCAAGCCUGAACGAGCAAUGCCGCGUGAACGAGGAAGGUCUUCGGAUCGUAAAGUUCUGUUGAAGGGGAAAAAGAGCGGAGAGAGGAAAUGCUUUCUGAUUGAUAUUACCCUUCGAGGAAGUCACGGCUAACUACGUGCCAGCAGCCGCGGUAAUACGUAGGUGGCGAGCGUUAUCCGGAAUGAUUGGGCGUAAAGGGUGCGUAGGCGGCCUGGUAAGUCUGGAGUGAAAGGUACCGGCGCAACCGGUACAGGCUCUGGGAACUGGCGGGCCAGAGGGCAGGAGAGGGCGGUGGAACUCCAUGGGGAGCGGUAAAAUGCGUAG
rnacentral:rRNA from 1 species